rnacentral:rRNA from 1 species
GACAGAGGCCCCGAGCGUUAGUCGGAAUUACUGGGCUUAAAGGGUGCGUAGGCGGGCGUGUAAGUGUCUUGUGAAAGCCCUGGGCUCAACCCAGGAACCGCAUGGCAUACUGCACGUCUCGAAGAAGCUAGAGGCCGGUGGAACGAUCGGUGGAGCGGUGGAAUGCGUAGAGAUCGAUCGGAACGCCAAGGGUGAAGACAACCGGCUGGGGCUUUCUUGACGCUGAGGCACGAAAGCGUGGGGAUCAAACAGG